rnacentral:rRNA from 1 species
UAAAAGCUAUUAAGGGUGUAUGGGGAAUAUCUUGGCAGUAAGAGGCGAAGAAGGACGUAUAUUAGCCAGCGAAAUGCAUCGGGGAGUCGGCAAAUAGACUUUGAUCCGGUGAUGUCCGAAUGGGGAAACCUUGGUACUUGAAAGAGUAUCAACCAUGUAGUGAGUAAACUAGCUACAUAGGAGCGAACGAGGGGAAUUGAAACAUCUUAGUACCCUCAGGAAGAGUAAUCAAUUGAGAUUCCGGCAGUAGCGGCGAGCGAAAUCGGAAGAGCCCAAACCAGAGUACUUGUACUCCGGGGUUGUAGGACUCUCAUACGGAAAGGCAAUUAUAGGAGAACGGUCUGGGAAGUCCGGUCAAAGAAGGUGAAAACCCUGUAUCCGAAAUAAUUGUCCUCUAGAGAGUAUCCUGAGUAGGACGAGGCACGUGAAACCUUGUCUGAAGCUGGGGGGACCACCCUCCAAGGCAAAAUACUACUUACUGACCGAUAGUGAACUAGUACCGUGAGGGAAAGAUGAAAAGAACCCCGAUGAGGGGAGUGAAAUAGAUCUUGAAACCAUACACUUACAAACAGUCAGAGGGUUAUUGUAAAGCCUGAUGACGUACCUUUUGCAUUAUGAUUCAGCGAGUUACGAUGUGUUGCGAGGUUAAGCCGUUGAAGGUGUAGCCGUAGGGAAACCGAGUCUGAAUAGGGCGAUUAGUAGCACGUCGUAGACCCGAAACGGGAUGAGCUAGCCAUGAACAGGUUGAAGCGGGGGUAAUACCUCGUGGAGGACCGAACUCGUGACGGUUGAAAACGUCUGGGAUGAUUUGUGGUUAGGGGUGAAAGGCCAAUCAAAUUCCGUGAUAGCUGGUUCUCUCCGAAAUGCAUUUAGGUGCAGCGUCUGACGAAUACCAUUGGGGGUAUAGCACUGACUUGGCUAGGGGGCUUACCAGCUUACCAAACCAUAUCAAACUCACAAUACCAAUGAGUACUAUCAGGCAGUGACACAGUGGAUGCUAAGGUCCAUUGUGAAAAGGGAAAGAGCCCAGACCAUCAGCUAAGGUCCCAAAAUCGUCGCUAAGUGGUGAAGGUUGUGGAAUUACUUUGACAUCCAGGAGGUUGGCUUAGAAGCAGCCACCCUUUAAAGAAAGCGUAAUAGCUCACUGGACUAGUGAUUCUGCGCCGAAAAUGUAACGGGGCUAAAGUGACGUACCGAAGCUAUGGAUUAUGUAAAUAAUGGUAGGAGAGCAUUGUGUUUGCCGAUGAAGGUGUACCGUAAGGAGCACUGGAGGUCUCACAAGAGCUGAUGCUGAAAUGAGUAGCGAUAAGAAAUGUGAGAAUCAUUUCCGCCGUAAAUCUAAGGGUUCCUGGGCCAGGUGACUCCGCCCAGGGUUAGUCGGGUUCUAACAUGAGGCGAAAGGCGUAGUGGAUGACCAACAGGUUAAUAUUCCUGUACUUAGUAAAAAUCGUUUGACUAGAUGGAAUGACGGAGAAAGGUAGUGAAGCCACUUAUUGGUUGUGGUUUAAGUAUGUAGGGGUCGAUUAGGCAAAAUCCGGUCGGCGUAACUCUGAGAUACGAAUACGAGCGCAAGCGAAGUUCAUGAUCCUCUGCUUCCCAGAAAAGUUUCGCUAGGAGAUUUUUAUUAACCCGUACCAUAAACCGACACAGGUAGAUGAGGAGAGAAUCCUCAGGCGCUUGGGAGAACUCUUGUUAAGGAACUCUGCAAAUUGGUGCCGUAACUUCGGGAGAAGGCACGCCUUUGAUGGUAAUAUCACUUGCUGGUAAAGCUAUUGGAGGUCGCAGUGAAAAGGGGGUAGCGACUGUUUAUCAAAAACACAGGUCUAUGCAAACACGUAAGUGGAAGUAUAUGGGCUGACGCCUGCCCGGUGCUGGAAGGUUAAAAGGAGAGGUUAUCGCAAGAGAAGCUUUGAAUUGAAGCCCCAGUAAACGGCGGCCGUAACUAUAACGGUCCUAAGGUAGCGAAAUUCCUAGUCGGGUAAGUUCCGACCUGCACGAAUGGCGUAACGACUUCCCCACUGUCUCAACAGGAGACCCAGCGAAAUUGGUGAGCGCGUGAAGAAACGCGCUACCCGCGGAAGGACGAAAAGACCCCGUGAACCUUUACUGUAGCUUGGCAUUGAGUUUCGAUUAACAUUGCGUAGGAUAGGUGGGAGUUUUCGAUCCGUGCAUUCCGGUGUACGGGGAGACAACCUUGAAAUACCACCCUAUGUUAAUUGGAAUUCUAACCUACGAUCGUAAUCCGGUCGGGGGACAAUGUCUGGUGGGCAGUUUGACUGGGGCGGUCGCCUCCUAAAGAGUAACGGAGGCGCACGAAGGUUCCCUCAGGCCGAAUGGAAACCGGCCAUAGAGUGUAAACGCAUAAGGGAGCUUGACUGUGAGGCAAACGAGCCGAGCAGGUGCGAAAGCAGGUGUUAGUGAUCCGGUGGUUCCGAGUGGAAGGGCCAUCGCUCAACGGAUAAAAGGUACUCCGGGGAUAACAGGCUGAUCUCCCCCAAGAGUUCACAUCGACGGGGAGGUUUGGCACCUCGAUGUCGGCUCAUCGCAUCCUGGGGCUGGAGCAGGUCCCAAGGGUUUGACUGUUCGUCAAUUAAAGCGGUACGCGAGCUGGGUUCAGAACGUCGUGAGACAGUUCGGUCUCUAUCCUCCGUGGGCGUAAGAAAUUUGAGUAAAUCUGACCUUAGUACGAGAGGACCGGGUUGGACGAACCUAUGGUGAACCGGUUAUGACGCCAGUUGUAUCGCCGGGUAGCUAAGUUCGGAAGGGAUAACCGCUGAAAGCAUCUAAGUGGGAAGCCUAUUACAAGAUAAGAUUUCUAUUAAGACAACUUCUAGACUAGGAGUUUGAUAGGUUGGGGGUGUAAGAGUAGUAAUACUUUGAGCUGACCAAUACUAAUUUGUCGUUUUGCUUUUUUUU